UAACUGACCUUCGGCAGCCUGAGGCUGGCCUGAGUCAGCAGCGUAGCUUGCAAUGGAAAGUGCGUAACCUUCAGGGUGGGUUCCAGUCCCACAUCUGCUGGCAACCAGCUGGGGGGUCUUGGACGGGUCACUUAACUCUCUGAAUCUCCGUUUUCCUGUCUAAAAAGUGGGGGUACUCAUAUCGAAUUCACUGGGCUUUGUGCUCAUCAAAGGACAUGCUGAAUGUCAGACAUGGUGCUCAUCAUCAGCUAUUCAGUACACUAAUGCUCUAGAGAGAGGUGCCAGGUUCACUCGCUGGCUUCGGCCACCCGUUGCACAAGCCCUCAUCCUCCAGGGAUGUGAAGCCCGCCUCGGUUCAAGCACCGCUUCCUCAGGAAAACCUUCCCUAACUUCACCCCUCCAGAUCCUACACGCCGUGAAGGGAAGAGACGAUGUCUAUCCUAUCACAGGACCUGGUAUACAGUAGGUGCUCAAGAGAAG